rnacentral:rRNA from 1 species
CAGGGGGCAACCUUGGAAGCUAGCGACCGAAGCCCCGGUGAACGGCGGCCGUAACUAUAACGGUCCUAAGGGUAGCGAAAUUCCUUGUCGGGUAAGUUCCGACCCGCACGAAAGGGCGUAACGAUCUGGAUGGUGUCUCAGAGAGAGACUCGGCGAAAUAGGGAAUGUCUGUGAAGAUAACGGACUGCCUGCACCUGGACAGAAAGACCCUAUGAAGCUUUACUGUAGCCUGGUAUUGGGUUCGGGCUUUGUUUGCGCAGGAUAGGUGGGAGACUAUGAAGUCGUCCUUGUGGGGACGAUGGAGUCAACGGUGAGAUACCACUCUAACAAAGCUAGAAUUCUAACCGCUUGCCGUAAUCCGGCAGCGGAACAGUAUCAGGUGGGCAGUUUGACUGGGGGCGGUCGCCUCCUAAAUGAUAAACGGAGGCGCGCAAAAGGUUCUCUCAGGCUGGUUGGAAAUCAGCCGUAGAGUGUAAAGGCAUAAGAGAGCUUGAUUG